rnacentral:tRNA from 2 species
GCCUUGAUUGUACAGUGGUUAGUACUCUGCAUUGUGGCUGCAGCAACCUUGGUUCAAAUCCAAGUCAUGGCA